GCAGCCCACUCGCAGCCCCGCCCCCGGCCACGCCUCCGCCGCGGAACGGAACCCUCCGAGUGGCGGCCCCCUGGGGAAGGAAAACGAGGUUGCCCGCAAGAGCAGCGGAGAACCUAGCUCCGGGCAGGAAUCAGUUUGUCUUUCUGAGCCUCCUACCUCUGCGCCGCCCCCCGACCUUAGCCGGGGCUAUUGAAACAGGCCCUUCCGUCGCGGGCACCUGGACGCCCUGGACCCGCCCCCCUGGACCCGCCCCCGGCGCAAAGCGGAACCCGCGGAGCCGGGGCCGUGGAGCAAGGUUCGGGGGACGGUUGCACUAGGGGCCCAAAACGCCCCUAAACACGCUCGGUCGCUAGAGGUCCCGCCCCGCCCCGCCCUGAGAUGAGCUCACAACCCCAUCCCCGGCCCAGCCCUCUAGCUCCGCUGCCGCCCCCGCCCCCGCGGAGCAGAACGCUCCCAGAUGGGCUGCUAACCUCUCCAGAGGUGGGAGAAAUAGGCUCGCCCAUCGCAAUCGCCUGGGCGCCCCUCCGCGGGCCAGAAUCGUAGCUUUGCCCCUGGUCGCGUCUCUGCCGUCGUGCGGAAGCAGAGUAGUGUGGCCCAGGGGGAAAGGGAAAGUGGCCGACUGGACAGGGUAGUGCCCCCCAGCUGUCCCCUGCGCCUGCGGCCUCGCCCCUAGCCACCUGGGAGAAGCUCAGUGGGCCUGACCUGCAGUCCAUCUCCAGGCCUACAUCUUGAAACUUGGCAUUAGUUUCUCGUGGCUGAUAAUUACCUACAACUUUUACAAUUUUCUGCUCAGUAUUAAUUUUCCACCAAAAUCUGGUCCCAUGUGAAUUCCAGUGGACUGCUCGCCUAAUAUAAUGGUUUCCACAAGCCUUUUGCUAGUCUCCAUGCAUUUACUGUAUGCUUGACCCAGUAAGCUUUUUCCUCCACCUCCUUGCCUAUCUGAAGCCUGUCUUUAAGGGCCAGCCCAAAUUUUCCCUAUUAGCCCUCCCCAUACUCUGAAUUUCCAUGACAGUUUCUUUAGUAAGAAUUUAGAUCUUGGAGUCACUUCCAACUGAGUUCAAAUUCCAGUUCUGUCAUUUACAAGUGGUGUGAGAUUUGGCAUGCUGUUCUAGCUGUUUGAAAUUCAAUGUUCUCAUUUGUAAAAUGGGGGUAGUAAUAGCACCUACCUCCUAGGGUGGCUAUGCUCAAGAG